CACCCCCGCCCCCCUCUCACUUUUUUUCUUCUUAUUUUUCUUAUUUUAUUUUUUUGUUUAAUAUUUAUUUUUUCAACUUAAUUCCAAUCUUUAUUAUAUUUGAUUUUAUCAAUUUUUUUAUUUUCUUUUUUUAAAAUAUUUGUUUUUAUUUAUUUUCUUUUGUCAAAUUGUAAAUUAAUUUUGAUUUUAAAAUGCAAUAUAACUUUCAUUAUUAAUUGCAUUUUGACCUUCAUUUUUAGUUUCA
rnacentral:lncRNA from 1 species